AACUUCUCUCAUCCUUCUCUAUCUGUUACAUCAUAGGACAUUUUCUGAGUCAGAGAGUGCCAGAGGCUUUCAUAAGAAGAUGCAGAUGGCAGACUUGAGACCCCAAUUCACAGCACUCAGUUAAAGGUCAUGAAAUUGCUGAUAAUGUAGAUCAAGUAGGAAGCUGAGUCCAGCCUCUGCUAAGAUGAACGGCAAGGUGUAUAUGGGAGCUCCAAAGCAGCAACAGAAGUAGUCCAAUUCAGUACAACGGCACAUGAAAAACCAGAAUUUACAAGUUUUGGAGGAGGUCAAAACUGAAUCAUCAGAUUAUUCGUGCAUGGAUGAAGA